rnacentral:rRNA from 1 species
CGGGAGGCAGCAGUGGGGAAUUUUGGACAAUGGGGGCAACCCUGAUCCAGCAAUGCCGCGUGUGUGAAGAAGGCCUUCGGGUUGUAAAGCACUUUUGUCCGGAAAGAAAUCCCUUGCCCUAAUACGGCGGGGGGAUGACGGUACCGGAAGAAUAAGCACCGGCUAACUACGUGCCAGCAGCCGCGGUAAUACGUAGGGUGCGAGCGUUAAUCGGAAUUACUGGGCGUAAAGCGUGCGCAGGCGGUUUUGUAAGACAGGCGUGAAAUCCCCGAGCUCAACUUGGGAAUGGCGCUUGUGACUGCAAGGCUAGAGUAUGUCAGAGGGGGGUAGAAUUCCACGUGUAGCAGUGAAAUGCGUAGAGAUGUGGAGGAAUACCGAUGGCGAAGGCAGCCCCCUGGGACGUCACUGACGCUCAUGCACGAAAG